rnacentral:rRNA from 1 species
AACGAACGCUGGCGGCAUGCCUAACACAUGCAAGUCGAACGAGACCUUCGGGUCUAGUGGCGCACGGGUGCGUAACGCGUGGGAACCUGCCCUUAGGUUCGGAAUAACUCCCCGAAAGGGGUGCUAAUACCGGAUAAUGUCUUCGGACCAAAGAUUGAUCGCCUUUGGAUGGGCCCGCGUUGGAUUAGCUAGUUGGUAGGGUAAAAGCCUACCAAGGCGACGAUCCAUAGCUGGUCUGAGAGGAUGAUCAGCCACACUGGGACUGAGACACGGCCCAGACUCCUGCGGGAGGCAGCAGUGGGGAAUAUUGGACAAUGGGCGAAAGCAUGAUCCAGCAAUGCCGCGUGAGUGAUGAAGGUCUUAGGGUUGUAAAGCUCUUUUACCCGGGAUGAUAAUGACAGUACCGGGAGAAUAAGCUCCGGCUAACUCCGUG